rnacentral:sRNA from 1 species
GCCAGGCCUGGUAGUGCACGCCUGUAAUCCCAGCCGCUCAGGAGGCUGAGGCAGGAGGAUCACGAGUUCAAAGCCAGCCUCAGCAAAAGCAAAGUGCUAAGCAACUCAGUGAGACCCUGUCUCUA